AUUGAACGCUGGCGUCAGGCCUAACACAUGCAAGUCGAACGAGUGGCGGACGGGUGAGUAAUGUCUGGGACACUGCCCGAUGGAGGGGGAUAACUACUGGAAACGGUAGCUAAUACCUCAUACCAUCGGAUGUGCCCAGAUGGGAUUAGCUAGUAGGUGGGGUAACGGCUCACCUAGGCGACGAUCCCUAGCUGGUCUGAGAGGAUGACCAGCCACACGUGAAAUGAGAAAAGGUCCAAACGCCUACGGGAGGCAGUAGGGGAGCAGAUUGAACAACGGGCGAAAGCCAGCAGAAUCCAUGCCGCGUGUAUGUAGAAGUACUAAGGUUUGCAAAGUACUUUCGGUGAGGCGGCGUUCCAUUUAGAAGCAGCACCUGCUAACGCCGUGCCAGCAGCCGCGGUAAUAC
rnacentral:rRNA from 1 species